CAGCCGCCGCGGGAAUACGGAGGGGGCUAGCGCUGUUCGGAAUUACUGGGCGUAAAGCGCACGUAGGCGGCUUUUUAAGUCAGAGGUGAAAGCCCGGGGCUCAACUCCGGAACUGCCUUUGAGACUGGAAGGCUUGAACGUCGGAGAGGUGAGUGGAAUUCCGAGUGUAGAGGUGAAAUUCGUAGAUAUUCGGAAGAACACCAGUGGCGAAGGCGGCUCACUGGACGACUGUUGACGCUGAGGUGCGAAAGCGUGGGGAGCAAACAGGAUUAGAUACCCCCGUAGUCCCUGUCUCUUAUAC
rnacentral:rRNA from 1 species